AAAUUGAAGAGUUUGAUCAUGGCUCAGAUUGAACGCUGGCGGCAGGCCUAACACAUGCAAGUCGAGCGGAAACG
rnacentral:rRNA from 1 species